CCUGGAGGCAAAAGCAGAAGAGAACCAUCAACCAAACUCUUGAGGUCUACAUCGACAAAAUUACUUGACAGGUCAUGAAGUUAUUUAAAGUCUUUUUUUCUGUUUUGUGCAAUGUUGUGGAUAUGUUUGAAAAUUGAAGUGUUUGUAUUGGAUUUUGCAUUUUUAAGUGUAUUAAUUCCAUUGUUUAGUCAAGGUAGUAUCAUUGACACUAUUAGUGCUGACUUUACAAUAUCAUAUCCGACAUUUUCUUUUAACCCUUUCAAAAUAUUUCAAAGAUUCAAGAGAGAGAGAGAGAGAGAGAGAAUGGCCAUUGGAUGUCAGUUUUAUUUCAAUAGUGCAAUCAUGGCUUUGUUCAUUUCGGGCUUUGGUAAAAUAUGUUUCUAAUCUUUGAAUCUUUACAUUUACUUAUCUACAAAAAUGUUCUAAAAUGCUCAUUAAAAUCUUUCCACAUGAUAAAAUGUUUUUGUUCCCAGUUAAACUAAAGUAUAUAUAAUAUGGAUUGUAAAGAACAUUUAGUGUUUGUUACAAAUUUAGACCACCAACAGAACUUUAUCUACUUUGGCCCUCUGAAUGAGGCUAAAGGAAUGUAUAUCACUGUAGUAAAACCAUUGGAAAGUGAUAUUUUCAUAAUACUGCCCCUUUAAGAGUCACUGCUUUUGCUACUUCUGGUUAAACUUGGAGAAAAAAAUGGAAAUGUAAUUUUGGGUCCUAUGAAGUACUAUCACUUUGACCUCAUUAUUGAUCACCGGUGAGUGUGUUGAUCAGGAUCAGAUUACAACUGCUUUCUGGUCCACGUCUUUAACUGCUAACCCACCACUGUAUGUAAAUUAGGGUAUUAUCCAGAUAUAUGCUUUAAAGUCCAGAUGUUGGCAGCUCUUUUCCUCAUUUUCACACACUCAGGAAAGAAGAGGCAGCCCUGCGUCUGAUGCUGGAGCGCAGAGAGGCGGAGCUCAGAGAAGCAAUGAAGCUGCGUCACAGCCUCACCACUUUGCUGCACGCUCUCAGGGUCAACAUGGAGCAGACUUUUUUUAACUCGGGUGAAAGUUGCCAAAAUGAUGAGAAAUCAUUGGAUCAAGCUGAGGUGGCACUUGGUGAACAUGUGACUGGAGGAGUGGUUCACAGUUGGAGAGAAGUGCAGAAAAGGAUGUGCUUGUCUGAUGGUCAAACCACUGGAAGCACCGACCAGGACAAGCUUCUGGCUCAGCUGGAAACUGAACUGAAAGAGUCUCAGCAGCUGGUUCGGUUGCAGCAGCAGCUGCUGCAGGACAGCCUUAAUGAAACUGUUCCCUCUGAGCUGGCUGAUUCCUACUUUCUGGAAGAGUGGGAACGUGUCCGAAUGCACUGGGCAGAGUUUGAUUGUCAGAGGAAAACUUUUGAAAGGGAGCGACAGGCCUUCACUGAUGCUGCCAUCCGACUGAGCCGUGAGCAGCAGGAGUUUAAGCUACAGAAAGCCUCUCUAGUGAAGCAGCAGUAUCUAUGUAAAUCACCGAGCAACGCUUCCAGUGAGUGGCACUCGUCUUUUUUAAUAUAUAUAAUUUUAUAUAUAUAUAUAUAUAUAUAUAUAUAUAUAUAUAUAAUCACAAACAAGCACUUUUGAAUCUAGAUCACUCCAGUUUGGGGAUGAACAAAAGCUGCUUCAAUGCUACUCCAACAUCCA
ensembl:lncRNA